UCGACGAAUAAUCAUUUAUGCUAACAGACCAGUACUUGAUCAUAGGUAACAGACCAAUACUUGAUCAUAGGUAACAGACCAGUACUUGAUCAUAGGUAACAGACCAGUACUUGUUUAGUGCAGACAACUGACUAUUCUUUUUUUCUGAACUUUUUGUGAUAUGUCUGUUAUGUGGAUAUCAUAUUCUAAUGCUUUUCUAAGUAUUUAAGGUACAAACAUGUGGAUCUGGACAUUUCACAUUUGCUCUUUAUUGUGUUGCUAAGGACACUGAACGGUUUAUCUGGGCCACCGCACAGCCUGGCUAAUCAG
rnacentral:lncRNA from 1 species